CCUUGGAUAGCUCAACUGGUGGAGCAAGAGACUCUUAAUCUCAUGGCUGUGGGUUCGAGCCCCACAUUGGGAA